CUUUUCAUUUAUCAACAAGAAAAGCAAACAAGUGUUGCAAUUCUUUGUAAUAAUAGUCUCUCUUAUUCUGUGUGCAUUGCAGGUUUGCACAAGCUCUCUCUAUUGAACAUGGAAGGUUGCCCUGUUACUGCAGCAUCCUUUGACUCUCUUGCAGGUAUGUAGACCAAUGAAGACUAACAGUGAACUCUCUCAUCAAUUUGAAUCAAUUUGAAUUUAACUCAUCCAAGCUUGAAAUUUAUGUUAUAGGCAGGAAUAGAUUUUUGAAAUGCAAUCUAGUAAAGUUCAAUAGUCUCUUACUUUGGUGAUAUCUUGAGUUGGGGAUAAUUUUCUUGGUCGUAAUUUGCCAUCUCUUGUAUAGUUGGAUCAAUCAUUAUAGCUCAACACUGCUUUCUCUGUUAAUAUCUUUGUUAAAACAUGAUUUGUGAAUAUGUUGUUUUGUGGUUAAUGGUGAUUGGAUAUUAAAUUGAAUGGGAAAAUGAACUAAUGUUGUAUUU